rnacentral:rRNA from 1 species
ACGAACGCUGGCGGCGUGCUUAACACAUGCAAGUCGAGCGGAAAGGCCCUUCGGGGUACUCGAGCGGCGAACGGGUGAGUAACACGUGGGCAACCUGCCCUCAGCUCUGGGAUAACUCCGGGAAACCGGGGCUAAUACCGGAUACGACCACUCCUGGCAUCUGGGGUGGUGGAAAGUUUUUCGGCUGAGGAUGGGCCCGCGGCCUAUCAGCUUGUUGGUGGGGUCACGGCCCACCAAGGCGACGACGGGUAGCCGGCCUGAGAGGGCGACCGGCCACACUGGGACUGAGACACGGCCCAGACUCCUACGGGAGGCAGCAGUGGGGAAUAUUGCGCAAUGGGCGAAAGCCUGACGCAGCGACGCCGCGUGAGGGAUGAAGGCCUUCGGGUUGUAAACCUCUUUCAGCAGGGACGAAGCGAGAGUGACGGUACCUGCAGAAGAAGCACCGGCCAACUACGU